rnacentral:lncRNA from 1 species
CUUGUCUGUUCUGUUACCAUGCUGCUACCCAACUGUGCAAAGUAGUUUAGGGUGGCCAGAACCCAGGGACCAUUGGAUUUCAAAGCUUGCUUUUUCUGUUGGUUCUUCUCUCUCCUUCUCUCUCUGUCUCUCCCAUUCUCCUGCCCAUGCAUGAAAGGAUCCUCCACCUUCUUCCCACCCAGAGCUCCCUCCAGUGAGCAGAGUGCUGACAGUCAUGGUCCCCUUCUUUGGGUCUGUCUUUUGAGAGAGGUUGAGUUCAGGGCAAGACAGCCUGCCACACAUCCAAGGGUACGACCAGUGGGACCCUGGCCUGAGUCUGUUCUCCGAGGGGCCUCCAGCAGCUUCUGUUCCUCCCUGCAGCUGUGUCUUUCUUGUCCUGGGUUUAGGAUGCAGGUGGGCCAGGCAGGUGUUGUUAGGGGAGGCACCCACUUCAAAAGGAGGGCCACAGUGGGGACACAGAGUCCAGCACCUGAGCCCUCCACCCUCCCCAUUCUGGUUGGUUCCAUCAGCCACACUUAGAAUCUCCCAGGAUCCCUUGGACUCCGUCCCCCAACUUGUCACAGCAGCCUGAGCCUACCCACCCCAGGAGACAAGAGCUGGCAGGAACAUCUGCCUAUAUGGGGGGUGGCGUUGGCCCCAAAGAGGCUUCACCAGCAAAGGAACUGUGUGUAUUUUAAUGCCAGGGGACGGAGGAUGUGUGAGCUGUUCAGCAAGGUCUGCCCAAGGCCUAAAACUCAAUUUCCUUAUUCUUUUGCUUCUGCUCGUCCUUAACAACUAACAGCUCAACCCACACCUCUAGACAACAGUAGUCGUGCUUUCUGCUAACGGUGACAUUUUCAGCUCUUAAAAAGAAGCAAGGAGAUUUUCAAAUGCUAGAGUAUCUCUAUCAGAAGGCAUAGGACAUUGUGUCCAAAGUCUCAAGAACAAACAACACUUUCCUUCUGACCUGGUCCAAAAGUCAGCAAACAGCAAGCAGGCAGAGGCCCUCAUAAGGACUUUUCUGUCCUCCUUUGACCAAACUGUUUAACCGAGCCUAGGGGUGACGGGGAGCGACCCAAGCUGGCAUCUUUCUCUACGGAGACAGAUUUUAGAAAAUACUUUUCUUGCCCAUGAAUUUCUUUUCUGGUUGAUUUUUAUCAUUUUCCCUUUACUUACAAGAAAAUAAGAUUGCAACCACUCCUGCUAAUGAUUUAGUAGUUCCUUUUCAUUUCAGUUUUUGUAAAUUAGGAGAUAAUUCUAAGAGUUACUAAAGGAUGAUUUAUUUAAGAGAACUACGUCAAAUAGCGAAUGAGUUAUGGGUAACAUUAGACGAAAAUAACCUUUCCCGUGGGAAAGGUUUCUCGAAGGCAUGGAUGCAAAUAUAAAAUAUUAAAA